CGAUGCGAUCAUACCAGUACUAAAGCACCGGAUCCCAUCAGAACUCCGAAGUUAAGCGUGCUUGGGCGAGAGUAGUACUAGGAUGGGUGACCUCCUGGGAAGUCCUCGUGUUGCAUUCC
rnacentral:rRNA from 1 species